rnacentral:rRNA from 1 species
CAUACCGUGAGAAUCUACCUUCAGGUCGGGGAUAACCCCUGGAAACGGGGGCUAAUACCGGAUAGGUCGAAAGAUGAAAGGUUAACUGCCUGAAGAGGAGCUCGCGUCUGAUUAGCUAGUAGGUGUGGUAAGAGCGCACCUAGGCGACGAUCAGUAGCUGGUCUGAGAGGAUGAGCAGCCACACUGGGACUGAGACACGGCCCAGACUCCUACGGGAGGCAGCAGUGGGGAAUUUUCCGCAAUGGGCGAAAGCUGACGGAGCAAGACCGCGUGGGGGAGGAAGGCCUUUGGGUUGUAAACCCCUUUUGUUAGGGAAGAAAAAAAUGACGGUACCUAACGAAUCAGCCUCGGCUAAUCCGUGCCAGCAGCCGCGGUAAUACGGAGGAGGCAAGCGUUAUCCGGAAUUAUUGGGCGUAAAGCGUCCGUAGGUGGCCCGGCAAGUCUGCUGUCAAAGACCACAGCUCAACUGUGGAAAGGCAGUGGAAACUGCAAGGCUAGAGUGCGGUAGGGGUAGAGGGAAUUCCCAGUGUAGCGGUGAAAUGCGUAGAGAUUGGGAAGAACACCGGUGCGAAAGCGCUCUACUGGGCCGCAACUGACACUGAUGGA